AUUGAACGCUGGCGGCAUGCUUUACACAUGCAAGUCGGACGGCAGCACAGAGAAGCUUGCUUCUUGGGUGGCGAGUGGCGAACGGGUGAGUAACAUAUCGGAACGUACCGAGUAAUGGGGGAUAACUAAUCGAAAGAUUAGCUAAUACCGCAUAUUCUCUGAGGAGGAAAGCAGGGGACCUUCGGGCCUUGCGUUAUUCGAGCGGCCGAUAUCUGAUUAGCUAGUUGGUGGGGUAAAGGCCUACCAAGGCGACGAUCAGUAGCGGGUCUGAGAGGAUGAUCCGCCACACUGGGACUGAGACACGGCCCAGACUCCUACGGGAGGCAGCAGUGGGGAAUUUUGGACAAUGGGCGCAAGCCUGAUCCAGCCAUGCCGCGUGUCUGAAGAAGGCCUUCGGGUUGUAAAGGACUUUUGUCAGGGAAGAAAAGGCUGUUGCUAAUAUCGACAGCUGAUGACGGUACCUGAAGAAUAAGCACCGGCUAACUACGUGCCAGCAGCCGCGGUAAUACGUAGGGUGCGAGCGUUAAUCGGAAUUACUGGGCGUAAAGCGAGCGCAGACGGUUACUUAAGCAGGAUGUGAAAUCCCCGGGCUCAACCUGGGAACUGCGUUCUGAACUGGGUGACUAGAGUGUGUCAAAGGGAGGUAGAAUUCCACGUGUAGCAGUGAAAUGCGUAGAGAUGUGGAGGAAUACCGAUGGCGAAGGCAGCCUCCUGGGAUAACACUGACGUUCAUGCUCGAAAGCGUGGGUAGCAAACAGG
rnacentral:rRNA from 1 species